GCGGAGGGCCGGAUGGCCGCGGCAUCCCCUCAAGGGGUGACGAGGAAAGUCCGGACUCCACAAGACAACGGUGCCGGGUAACGCCCGGCCGGGGCAACCCGAGGGAAAGCGCCACAGAGAACAGACCGCCCAGCCGGCUCGGCCCUGCCGACGCGGCUGGGCAAGGGUGAAACGGUGGGGUAAGAGCCCACCGCGGGACGGGCAACCGGACCGGCACGGCAAGCCCCACCGGGAGCAAUGCCGAAUAGGGAUCGCGCGCGGGGACCGGUCCCGGACCAUGGUCCGGGAUACCGCCCGCAGGCCAUGUCUUGGCCUGGCGAUCCGGGUAGGCAGCCAGAGGCGCGCGGGCAACCGCGUGCCGAGACGAAUGGCCAUCCAAGGGGGCCUGCCCCCUGGACAAAAUCCGGCUUACAGGCCCUCCGCGCGC
rnacentral:RNase_P_RNA from 1 species